rnacentral:lncRNA from 1 species
AGAAAUUCUCAAGCAUAGCUUUCUUUAUAUUUGCCCUCUUUGUUCUUCUUGGUAAGUUGUGUCUGAUUAAAUUUGAAAAUUUAUCAAAUAGUUGUUCAAUUUUCUAAUCUCAAAAUGUUUUUUAUUUUUGUCGAAACAAAUGAAGACGCUAAAACAAGCCUCGGAGAUCAAGAAAUAUGUAAAAUUCAACCCCCGGGAGCUGCCACACCUUGUGAAAUAAUAAACUGCUCCAACACAUGCGACAAGUUCAAAGGAAAGCCUGCACCUCCUGGUAUUUCUGGACCAUUAUUUGGGUCGAGUUGCUCAGCAACUGAUACUUGUAUUUGCAAUUUUUGUUGUAAACCACACUGCCAAUAAUAUCGAUAUCGUAUAUCGUAUUGAGG